UACGUAGGGUGCGAGCGUUGUCCGGAAUUAUUGGGCGUAAAGAGCUCGUAGGCGGUGUGUCGCGUCGGCCGUGAAAACCUGCAGCUUAACUGUGGGCUUGCAGCCGAUACGGGCGGGCUGGAGUUCGGUAGGGGAGACUGGAAUUCCUGGUGUAGCGGUGAAAUGCGCAGAUAUCAGGAGGAACACCGGUGGCGAAGGCGGGUCUCUGGGCCGAUACUGACGCUGAGGAGCGAAAGCGUGGGGAGCGAACAGG
rnacentral:rRNA from 1 species